UAUGGCGAUAUCACGUUGAAACAUUGGUUCCUGUAUGAUCACUAAAGUUAAGCAACAUUGAGCCCAGUCAGUACCUAGAUGGGUGAUCACUUGGGAAUACCAGGUGCUGUAA